GUCGAGCUAAGUAACGAAAGCUUGUGACCCGAGUGGGGACAAUAAGAUGGUGGAACAUUGGUUCGGGUCCACGGGUCGGAUCUGGUGUCGGCAAGUUUCUGAGCUGCCCAGUCCAAGCUGUGAGUUAUCCCUCUGGGUUGAUCGAAGGUUCAUCCCAGGUGGGUGCUAAAGUCGGAGGGUAAAGCGUGAGGCUGGUUUCACAGAGCAGCGACUACUUCCCGCUUAUAGCAGUGGACGGAUUACGGCUCGGCGUCGCCCAGAUCCACUAUGGCCCGCUGGUUCGAUCUCAGCUGAACCACUAUUUUU
rfam:Capsella rubella cultivar Monte Gargano unplaced genomic scaffold scaffold_4, whole genome shotgun sequence.